CCACUGAGUUAGGGAGUGUCUAGGAGUGCACUGUUGCCAAAACAGCUACAGUUCAAUAGGUUCAAAUAGGUUUUUCUAAGCUGUAUUAUUUCACUUAUCUCCACCUUGGGAUCACUUGUAGAUCUGACUUCCAGCUAAAAGGUCAGCUGAUUUUAUUCUGUAUUGAUAACUGACUCCUGGACCUGCUGGAGACACAUUGAAAUGGGAAAUACAAACCGAGGACCCCAUCACCCUCACGACCACCACCACCACCCUCCCCAUCAUCAUCACCCCCAUCUUCAUGUAGGCCAUCCUCCACACCAUCAGAUGGGUCCACAUAUACACGCUGGACAUCAUGUGCACCAUGGACCACAAGGCCAUCAUGGAAUUCAUGGGCAUCACGGGCAUCAUGGGCACCAUGGACAUCAUGGAAAACACUAACUGUAGAAUGAUGUGGAGUGAAAACCCAGGGAAAGGCACAGCACCACAAUGGCAAUCUACUAUGACCAUUAUCUGAUCUGAAUCAACAAAAAUAUAAAAAUCUUAUAUAACUCUUCUUAUAUUUGAUUAUGUAACUUUCAAUAAGAUAAAUACCUUAGCAAACAGUAAUCUCCAUAAAUGACUCAAUGUGCAAAUAAAAUGUUUUAACAUGUCUUAAGAUAUUAUGCCAAAUUGAUUCUUGAUAGACUUUACUGUGUUUAAAUUAUGUGUAAAUACAAAGAGACCUUCAUGCUA